UCGAAUAUUAAAAAUAUUCGAAUAAUGCGCGCAACGACAAAGAGGAAAUAGGGAGAAAAAAAAUAGAAAGACGAGGAUAAAAAGAAUACGUAACGUGGUCGUUGAUAACGUUUCGUAUCCGUCAUCAUAUGGAAAUUCACCGAUUUUACCUUUCACGAUUUAUCUUUACAAAAUAUUUCGUUUCGGAUUCGAUAAAACUGUCGUAUCCGCUGUCGCUGUUAAUUUUUCAUCUUUAUCAGUGUACCGACGAUUCUGAUUUGAUUUCUUUUUCUGUUUGCAGAAAAAUUCAUUGGUCUUCUGGCGGAUCGAGAUUCGAAUAGAAUGCGAAGGCGUGAUGAAACCGGAAUGAAACAUCAUACGCGAAAAGGAGGACGACGAUCGCGUGUCAAGUUGAUGAGGGAGGAAUCGCGAUCGCGCCUUCUAUUCCGCCGGGUAAAAAUGCCGGGAAUGUUGAAUGAAUGUUUCAAGAAGGAUGGGUCGGUGUACGCGGAAUAAAUGAAUAAAAGAACUCCACAAUCUGAGGACUGGUGACACUUUUACCUAUAGUACUCGAACGGACGCGUGUCCUUGUGUAGCGUUUAUUUUUCCGCACGUUUCUUUCAGGGCCCGUUACCAGACGCAAACCAAUCUUCGUUUGGAUUUCCCCCUCCCAGAUACCGCUCGACGCUCAACCGCACGAGGAUACGAAUUAUUAGUAGCAUCAUAAUUUCGUGUAAUUAAUAGAAUAAUCGAUGGAUCGUUGGCAAUGAACGAGAUCCAACUUUUGCUUCUUUUGCCGGUUCUCGUCCCUUUAAAUAUGGCAUCGACGUUUUCGUUUUCGCCACCGUGUAGAUGAACCCAAUGGACCAGGCCAAAAAUGUACACUUGACCGACUGGUCGUGUCGCCCGGACAUUAUAACGGCCGAAUGGUUGCUCAUCCAUUUGCAUAUCAUGUCCAGUCAUUAAGGUAGCAAAUUAGGGAGGUUGCGCCCGGUUUCGAAGCCUUCCAAGCAAGGGUUCCCUCUCGUUUGUACGACCGUUUGGCUCGAGGAAAGAUAAAAAAGAAGAAGAAAAAAAAGGACGGUAAGGAGGAUUUAUGGAGGAUCUUUAUUAUUCCUCGUCAUUAUUCGUUCGACGCUCCACUAUGUCGAGGUGGUAACAGGUGCACAC